rnacentral:rRNA from 1 species
UAAGGGCGCACGGUGGAUGCCUUGGCACUAGAAGCCGAUGAAGGACGUUACUAACGACGAUAUGCUUUGGGGAGCUGUAAGUAAGCUUUGAUCCAGAGAUUUCCGAAUGGGGAAACCCAGCAUGAGUUAUGUCAUGUUAUCGAUAUGUGAAUACAUAGCAUAUCAGAAGGCACACCCGGAGAACUGAAACAUCUUAGUACCCGGAGGAAGAGAAAGAAAAUUCGAUUCCCUUAGUAGCGGCGAGCGAAACGGGAAGAGCCCAAACCAACAAGCUUGCUUGUUGGGGUUGUAGGACACUCUAUACGGAGUUACAAAGGACGACAUUAGACGAAUCAUCUGGAAAGAUGAAUCAAAGAAGGUAAUAAUCCUGUAGUCGAAAAUGUUGUCUCUCU